rnacentral:rRNA from 1 species
GGCAAGUCUGGUGCCAGCAGCCGCGGUAAUUCCAGCUCCAAUAGCGUAUAUUAAAGUUGUUGCAGUUAAAAGCUCGUAGUUGGAUUUCUGGGAGGAUGCCAAUGUCCGCUCGAUUGCGUGUGCAGCGGCGUCCUUCCAUCCUUCUGUUAACGUUUCUUGGUAUUCAGUUACUGGUUUCGGGCUCAGAUAUUUUACCUUGAGAAAAUUAGAGUGUUCCAGGCAGGCUUGCGCCGGAAUACAUUAGCAUGGAAUAAUAGAAUAGGACAUUGGUUCAUAUUUUGUUGGUUUUCAGGGCCAGGGUCAUGAUGAAUAGGGACAGUUGGGGCAUUAGUAUUCAGUAGUCAGAGGUGAAAUUCUUGGAUUUACUGAAGACUGACUAAUGCGAAAGCAUUUGCCAAGGAUGUUUUCAUUAAUCAAGAACGAAAGUUAGGGGAUCGAAGACGAUUAGAUACCGU